CAGAAUAUAGUUUAAAAAAAAUAUUAAUUUUGGAGAUUAAAGAUAAUAAUAAAUAUUUAUUCUGA
rnacentral:tRNA from 1 species